GUUUCGGCUUAUUGCACAUUGCACCUAAUAGUUUUGGAAAAUACACUUUGCAUCCCCAGACUUUUAACCCGUAGACACUUUGCACCCUUUCCGGUAAAUUUUGCCGUUACCGUUAAUUUUUACAGGGGCAUUUUGGGAAAUGUAAUUAUAUUUAAUUAAAAUUAGAUCUUUAUUUAAAUUUUUUGACCAUCUAAACGAUAUUUUUCGGAAAAACUUAAAGAACG
rnacentral:lncRNA from 1 species